CGCUGGCGGCAGGCCUAACACAUGCAAGUCGAGCGGCAGCGCGUCCGACCACCCUCGGGUGGUCGGAUGGCGGCGAGCGGCGGACGGGUGGGGAAUGCAUCGGAAUCUGCCUCGUUGUGGGGGAUAACGUAGGGAAACUUACGCUAAUACCGCAUACGACCUACGGGUGAAAGUGGGGGACCUUCGGGCCUCACGCGAUGAGAUGAGCCGAUGCCGGAUUAGCUAGUUGGCGGGGUAAAGGCCCACCAAGGCGACGAUCCGUAGCUGGUCUGAGAGGAUGGCCAGCCACACUGGAACUGAGACACGGUCCAGACUCCUACGGGAGGCAGCAGUGGGGAAUAUUGGACAAUGGGGGCAACCCUGAUCCAGCCAUGCCGCGUGUGUGAAGAAGGCCUUCGGGUUGUAAAGCACUUUAAGCGAGGAGGAAGGUUUUUAGUUUAAUACACUAAAGAAUUGACGUUACUCGCAGAAUAAGCACCGGCUAACUCUGUG
rnacentral:rRNA from 1 species